GGAUUCCCCUAGUAACUGCGAGUGAAGCGGGAAAAGCUCAAAUUUAAAAUCUGGCAGCUUUGGCUGUCCGAGUUGUAGUCUGGAGAAGCGUCUUCCGCGCUGGACCGUGUACAAGUCUCUUGGAACAGAGCGUCAUAGAGGGUGAGAAUCCCGUCCAUGACACGGACUACCAGUGCUUUGUGAUGCGCUCUCAAAGAGUCGAGUUGUUUGGGAAUGCAGCUCAAAAUGGGUGGUAAAUUCCAUCUAAAGCUAAAUAUUGGCGAGAGACCGAUAGCGAACAAGUACCGUGAGGGAAAGAUGAAAAGCACUUUGGAAAGAGAGUUAAACAGUACGUGAAAUUGCUGAAAGGGAACCGCUUGAAGUCAGUCGCGUCUUGCAGAACUCAACCUGGCAUUUGCUUGGUGCACUUUCUGUAUGACGGGCCAACAUCAGUUUUGACUGCUGGAAAAAUUCCUUAGGAAUGUGGCACCUACGGGUGUGUUAUAGCCUUUGGUUGUAUACAGUGGUUGGGACUGAGGACCGCAGCACGCCUUAUGGCCGGGGUUCGCCCACGUACGUGCUUAGGAUGUUGGCGUAAUGGCUUUAAGCGACCCGUCUUGAAACACGGACCAAGGAGUCUAACAUGCCUGCGAGUGUUUGGGUGGUAAACCCGAGCGCGUAAUGAAAGUGAAAGUUGGGAUCCCUGUCGUGGGGAGCACCGACGCCCAUACCAGACCUUCUGUGACGGCUAUGCGGUUGAGCAUGUAUGUUGGGACCCGAAAGAUGGUGAACUAUGCCUGAAUAGGGUGAAGCCAGAGGAAACUCUGGUGGAGGCUCGUAGCGAUUCUGACGUGCAAAUCGAUCGUCAAAUUUGGGUAUAGGGGCGAAAGACUAAUCGAACCAUCUAGUAGCUAGUUCCUGC
rnacentral:rRNA from 1 species